GACGAACGCUGGCGGCGUGCUUAACACAUGCAAGUCGAACGGAAAGGCCCCCACUUUUUUGGUGGGGGUGCUCGAGUGGCGAACGGGUGAGUAACACGUGGGUGAUCUGCCCUGUACUUCGGGAUAAGCUUGGGAAACUGGGUCUAAUACCGGAUAGGACCAUGGUUUAGUGUCUCAUGGUGGAAAAAUUAUUGUUUUGGUGCAGGAUGAGCUCGCGGCCUAUCAGCUUGUUGGUGGGGUAAUGGCCUACCAAGGCGUCGACGGGUAGCCGGCCUGAGAGGGUGGACGGCCACAUUGGGACUGAGAUACGGCCCAGACUCCGACGGGAGGCAGCAGUGGGGAAUAUUGCACAAUGGGCGCAAGCCUGAUGCAGCGACGCCGCGUGGGGGAUGACGGCCUUCGGGUUGUAAACUCCUUUCGUUAGGGACGAAGCCGCACCUUUUUUGGGUGUGGUGACGGUACCUUUGUUAAGAAGCACCGGCUAACUACGUG
rnacentral:rRNA from 1 species